GGGAAUGAAAGGGUAAAAAGUUAAGGUAAUCUAAAAAGGGUGGUGCUCAACAAUAAGGUAGUCAGGAUGAAAGUAAGUAUCUAAAGAUGAAGUAGGGGAUUUUUGGUUUCUUCUUUUCAGCUAGUGUUCCUUACUCGACGUUGUUGGGUGAUAGGUGAUAGUAGGGUGACAAUAUUUUUGGGCACAGGGUGCCUAAUCUCAGGUGAGUGGGGAUCAUUUGGACUUAUCAUGACCUCCAUUUCGGU
rnacentral:lncRNA from 1 species